rnacentral:rRNA from 1 species
AUUGAACGCUGGCGGCAGGCCUAACACAUGCAAGUCGAACGAGUAGCGGACGGGUGAGUAAUGUCUGGGAAACUGCCUGAUGGAGGGGGAUAACUCCUGGAAACGGUAGCUAAUACCGCAUACCAUCGGAUGUGCCCAGAUGGGAUUAGCUAGUAGGUGGGGUAAAGGCUCACCUAGGAGACGAUCCCUAGCUGGUCUGAGAGGAUGACCAGCCACACUGGAACUGAUGCACGGUCCAGACUCCUACGCGAUGCAGCAGUGGGGAAUAUUGCACAAUGGGCGCAAGCCUGAUGCAGCCAUGCCGCGUGUAUGAAGAAGGCCUUCGGGUUGUAAAGUACUUUCAGCGGGGAGGCGUUACCCGCAGAAGAAGCACCGGCUAACUCCGUGCCAGCAGCCGCGGUAAUUC